GUGACAGCCCCGUACACAAAAAUGCACAUACUGUGAGCUCGAUGAGUAGGGCGGGACACGUGGUAUCCUGUCUGAAUAUGGGGGGACCAUCCUCCAAGGCUAAAUACUCCUGACUGACCGAUAGUGAACCAGUACCGUGAGGGAAAGGCGAAAAGAACCCCGGCGAGGGGAGUGAAAAAGAACCUGAAACCGUGUACGUACAAGCAGUGGGAGCACAGAGCAAUCUGUGUGACUGCGUACCUUUUGUAUAAUGGGUCAGCGACUUAUAUUCUGUAGCAAGGUUAACCGAAUAGGGGAGCCGAAGGGAAACCGAGUCUUAACUGGGCGUUAAGUUGCAGGGUAUAGACCCGAAACCCGGUGAUCUAGCCAUGGGCAGGUUGAAGGUUGGGUAACACUAACUGGAGGACCGAACCGACUAAUGUUGAAAAAUUAGCGGAUGACUUGUGGCUGGGGGUGAAAGGCCAAUCAAACCGGGAGAUAGCUGGUUCUCCCCGAAAGCUAUUUAGGUAGCGCCUCGUGAAUUCAUCUCCGGGGGUAGAGCACUGUUUCGGCAAGGGGGUCAUCCCGACUUACCAACCCGAUGCAAACUGCGAAUACCGGAGAAUGUUAUCACGGGAGACACACGGCGGGUGCUAACGUCCGUCGUGAAGAGGGAAACAACCCAGACCGCCAGCUAAGGUCCCAAAGUCAUGGUUAAGUGGGAAACGAUGUGGGAAGGCCCAGACAGCCAGGAUGUUGGCUUAGAAGCAGCCAUCAUUUAAAGAAAGCGUAAUAGCUCACUGGUCGAGUCGGCCUGCGCGGAAGAUGUAACGGGGCUAAACCAUGCACCGAAGCUGCGGCAGCGACGCUUAUGCGUUGUUGGGUAGGGGAGCGUUCUGUAAGCCUGUGAAGGUGUACUGUGAGG
rnacentral:rRNA from 1 species